rnacentral:lncRNA from 1 species
UUUCAUAGAGGUUUCAGAGAAAUCAAUGCCUUUGGGCACAGCUGUGUCCCAGGGCCACGCUGGCAUCUUCUAGGAAUGGAAAAUGGAAGGUGAAAGCGAUUUUAAGAGGCAAAAAAGCUUUUAAGUGGAAAAUGUUCUUUUCACUGUCUGAAGUGAGUAAGUUAAAACCAACACAUUGGAACAUACACUCUGGGAUUGUAAGUUUUUCCUCAGUAUGAUAACACCCCUCUAGCUAUUAAAGAAACCAAGAACACAUUUUCCUAAGUGGUCUUCAGACACUGCUUUGUAACAUUUUGAGGAGGUUGUGAAAGCAUUAAUUUUGUCCCUUUACAAAUAAGGUGCUUUAGAUCAAUGUUCUAACAACACUGCCCUGAGGUUGUGUUUUAUCUGUCAACAGCUCUAGAUAAGGGACUGGUAAGUCUUUACAGACAAAAGGUACUGUAUCCUGACUUAAAAGACAGUACUUAUAUGUCACAGAAAGGAAAAUGUAUCAUAUCUCCCCGUGUUCCAAGGAUAGGCUGCCAAGAAUAAUCCUGUAUUUGGAUUUUGUUAAAGUGGAAGACUCUCCUCUCUUGAGUUAUAUGUAGAAUUUUAGAUAAAGAUUUUCUUCUACUUUGUUCAUUUCCUAAACCAGAGAUGAAUUAAACUGCUCUGGUGAAAUGCAAGUCUUUAAGUUCAAGUGCUUCUUUUUAUUGAAGAAUUUAUCUUACUUGAAUAAUUUACAGUAUUGAUGCUAAAGGAAGAUUAUGGUUGAUUUUUUCAGGAAUACUUUGCCUGUGAAUUUGCUUUCAGUUGAAGGAAAGUAGGAGUCUACUACCAGUUUCCAUGAGAAAAGGGCUCCAUAAACAUUGAGUCCUUCUGUAAAUAUCAUCACCUCAGGAACCAAGGGAUCAGAGUUCUCUGUGUUUGCUUUUUUUUUUUUUUGCCUAGAGCUUGCCCCUGUCAGCAGAAGAACAGGCUGCAGCACAGCAGUUGGGCAGCCAAACUGGGACAGAAAUAGAAUCAUCAGUGGGAAAGGUUGUGCAGGAUCUACAGUCCCUGGCUCAGCUGAAGGGCAGCACUGAGUAUUUCACAGGUGGAUGAGAUGAGUACGAAACCCUCUCACUCAAGAAUUCAAGUCCUGGAAGAACUUGGUAUUGUGAAAAGCAGCAAAAAAGGAGAUAUUGAAUUAGUUGUGUAAGUGAAAUCUCGGCCCGUUCUCAUCUGAGACACAAAAGCACCUUGGUCACAGCUCCUGGAUUAUGAAGGAACAAGUAUUUCCCUGGGAUCUAAGAGCUGCCGAAAGUCCACUGUUGGAGAGUUGUAAUGUUUCUGUGCACAAAUUCUGUUUCUAGUACUUAAAACUGGAGAGUUAAAAACCACUGAGGUUGGCAUUUUGCCUUGGAUAUUUAUAGGCCUAUGGCUGAUGCAUUUUUGAAGAGUGUUACGAGCCAUGUGACAUUUUCUUGCUCUUGUUAUUCAGUGGGUUUUUAACAAGUAACCCAAGCCUCUUAAGUGUACUUACAUUCCCGAAUAAAUGAUGAAAGC